rnacentral:lncRNA from 1 species
GUCGAACAUCUGUAUUUCAGGCUGCUGACGAAAUAUCUAUGGAAAGGGGCCUCUAAAGAAGUAGUGCAGAGAAUAAAAACUGCUGGGAAAGAUAUGCAAUCACUCAAAAAAAAUGGGUGUGUUCCUCUGGAAUGCAAAGUGACUCACAAAUGGAAUGCCUGAUUUACCCUCUGAAAGGGGUCCGCACCUGCCUAACCAUGACCACUAGUCUGGAGAAGCACUGGCUUCAGCAGCAGAAGGCAGAAUCAUUGAUAGCAAGAAUCUUUUGAGCUCCUCAGAGCCAUGCAGCUCCUCACCCUUACCCUCUGCCACUGCCAUCAGCAAUGGGGAUUUCUCAGGUCUCAGCUCAAAUACAGUAUCUUUAAGGAUGCCGGAGAUACAGGAGUGCUGGGAAGGCAAGACCAUGGUCCCUUUAAAUGAUACGGGAGUGCUGGGUAGAGGAAGGGUGUGGUCCCUGGCUAGGGCUCCACCCCCACCGACCUAGAUGAGGACCUGGCACUCCUGCCUGCACGCCCAAAUGUUGUAUUUCCCAAGACCAUCCUGGCCCACCACGGCCCCAUCCUGUGACUAUAAAAACCUGAGACUCUAGCAAGGCAAAGACCGAAACGACUGGACGUGUAGAGGAGCGGAUCAGCAGAAGAAGAUAGAGGCAGGGGGAUGUCAAAUGCAGCAUAUCAGCGUAGGAACACACAGGCCGUUGAAGCGAGAGAGGAGCACAUCAAUGAAAGAAGGCACAAGCAUCUGGAUGGCGAGAGGAUGUUGAGGGGAGCAUGGCAGCUGAAGAGCACACCGACAGGACACACGCCGGCACUGUCCCGGUGGGAGUGGGAUGAGGCGGAGUUUGGUGGGGGCAGUGGGAGGAGAGCCCUGGCCGUGGAGUGCCCCAACUCCAGGGGAAAACCAUCUCCCUUCUGGCUCCCCCAUCUGCUGAGAGCUACUUCCACUCAAUAAAAGCUUGCACUCAUUCUCCAAGCCCACAUGUGAUCCUAUUCUUUCGGUACACAAAGGCGAGAAACCCCGGGAUACAGAAAGCCCUCUGUCCUUGAGAUGAGGUAGAGGGUCUAAUUGAGCUGGUUAACACAAGCCUAUAGAUGGCACACUAAGAGAGCAUCCUGUAACACACGCCCACUGGGGCUUCAGCUGUAAACAUUCACCCCUAGACACUGUUGUAGGGUGGGAGCCCCACAGCCUGCCGUCUGUAUGCUCCUCUAGAGGUCUGAGCAGUGGGGCACUGGAGAGCCACACCCACAUCGCAUGCCCUGCCGGGGGACUACUGAACCUUUCCCGUUUCACUAGCAUAUACAAUAUAACCCUCUGGCCUAUCGCUUUAACACAUUUCCUCAGAGCGUUCAA